ACAGACUGCUUUUUAAGUGUAUUUAGAGCCCCACAGCACUUUAGCAUUAGGUGGCAAGGCUUCCUGGAGCUCAAGUUCUGACAACUGGGAUCAGCAAUUCUCUGGCUAGGGCUGGUUUUACUACUCCCUCUGUGGGUUGGCAUCAGCUGAGUUUGGUCUGAUUUUGCUUUCUGCUAUAACAGGUCAUCACUGAGAUUUAUACAAUAAAACCAGGUGAGCACUUGGGAUAUUUCAGAUGUUUCCCUGUUGUAAUGAAGCUUUUUAAAAAUGCUUUGCAAGUCUUUGGUUGUUUUUCAGUGACCCUCCAGAGGACUAAAGGAAAGUUUUGCUUCGCCCCUACAGUUUUGGCACUGUGAGCAGUAUACCAAAACUACUCCACCCUUCCGAAAGCCACAGUGAAGAAAACCCAAGGCCUGACAAGCCAGCAGAAGUGCAAAAAAGUUUUACCAAUCAGGUCAUUAGCCUCUAGCUCUGUGGAAUCUGGUUGAGUUCAUGGUAAAACUCACUGUUUUUCACUUUUUCCUCUCCAAAAUUAUGAUUAAUGGAAGAAAACUAUUUGCGUGACUAGUAUCAGAUAUAGUUCUUCUGUUUUAGUUUUUGCUCUAAGUAUUCAUAUUAGCUGAUACUUUUCCUCCUAGAAAUAUUGUUUUCCUUUGUCUUUUUCUGUCUUGUUAUGUCAAAGAGAAGUAUCAUAGGGUAAAACAUAGGCUUAAAACCUCCAUUAACGCAUUUUUCAAGCUGACCCUGCACACUGGUCAGUUUUGUGUUUCUGACCACACCAGAGUCUAUUUAGACAAACUUGUUGUAGGUCCCCAAAAUAAAAACCAGAUGAGCUUCCCCUCUCUUGUUCUAUGUCACUGAGAGCUUGACUAGUAAUCAAGUGGGAGAACGCUUUUCUAGUCUCCAUCAUUUAUGGGGUGUGACUUUGGGGUGAAGUCUAGUGGUAAGUCUGUAAUAUGGCUGGGAACCUGAGACAUCUGAGAUUUUAAGCAGCACCCUCUUUGCUCUGAAUGUGCUAGUGUCUCAAGGGAGUCUGUCUUAAGACGUCCCAUCCAUAAGGGGCUUCUGUCAGCUCAAUCAUUUUUGCCUGAUUACUCCUGGGAAAGUCUAAUCCCAAGAGGGCCUACCAGGCAUCAAAUUAAUGGGUCUGUAACUGUAAGCUUCCCACAAAUUUGUAAAGUACUGAAGGAAUGACACUCACAAAUACCAUACUUAACCAUCUGUGACAACAAGAGGCUUUUUCUAUCUUAGCCUAUUUCUGAGAGUGAAUUAUUAGGAGAUUAUUGGAACCGCCUCUUUUAUGCCCCCUCCAGGAACACCUCUUUGUUAUAUAGUAAAAACUUAUUCUGUACUUGGAAAAUUACCUCCUGCACUUUCCAUUAAGACAUGUAUUGAAUUGAGUUGCUAUUGAAAUAAGC
rnacentral:lncRNA from 1 species